UAAUACGGAGGGUGCAAGCGUUGUCCGGAUUUAUUGGGUUUAAAGGGUGCGUAGGCGGCCUAAUAAGUCAGUGGUGAAAGCCUCCAGCUUAACUGGAGAACUGCCAUUGAUACUGUUAGGCUUGAGUAUACUUGAGGUAGGCGGAAUUGACAGUGUAGCGGUGAAAUGCAUAGAUAUUGUCAAGAACACCAAUUGCGAAGGCAGCUUACUAAAUUAUAACUGACGCUGAGGCACGAAAGUGUGGGUAUCAAACAGGAUUAGAUACCCUGGUAGUCCACACUGUAAACGAUGAUUACUCGCUGUUGGCGAUAGACAGCCAGCGGCCAAGCGAAAGCGUUAAGUAAUCCACCUGGGGAGUACGCCGGCAACGGUG
rnacentral:rRNA from 1 species